UUUAUGAGCAUUUUCAUCUGUUGUUGAGGCUAUUAUUGCUGAAGAUUAUUAUGAAAGGAAACCAUGUGCUUGCCGCUGGACAUCUACAAAGGCAUUACCAGUGUCGAUGUAUCGGAAGCGUCUAGAUCGACUAACAUCUAAUGAUAUUUAUUGGAUACCUUACAGUGACCAUCGUGUAAUUAGAGAAUUCAAGCUCAUCUCUUGUUUUUCUGGACAUAUCUGAUGGGGUCUCGUUGUUGUCAUACACCGACCAGAGAGGGUUGUGCGACAGUUUAGCGGUGGGCCAGAUUUGUCUUGUGCCUGGACAAUGUGCACCAGACUACAUGGAUUGGUUCUACAUAAUUUCGCAUCCAUUCAUGGGGCCAGCACAACCCGGGUAUCCAGUCAUACAUCCACUUGUCAUCCAAGAUGACACAUAUGUCGAACCAGAUAUGCCUUAGUACCCGAUGGCGACAGCAGCUAUGGAGGAAGCACUUGCGCAUGUACCUUCUCAUGUGAAGUAGCCUAGACAUGCAGUGGAGGCUUGCCAAGCAAUAAUUGAAAGGUUGAAGCAGUUGCUCAACUUAAGGAUAGUGACUGAAGGCAUAGAAACAUACGAUGUCAUGCAAGACUGUUUAAGGAUCUCUAGAGGUGUGACUGUGGAUCGCAAUGUAUAUGUGCGAUCGUGACGAAGGCGGCGCAUGAAGACAUUUAGAAUUUUUUAGUAAAUGUG